AAAAAUGGAUCAAAAAAUCCGUUUUAAUAUUAAUAAUUUUUUAAAAAAAGUUUUCUAAAUUUCCCCUUUUUUAAAAUAUUUUAAUUUUUUACAUAUCAUUUCUCAAAUCAUAAAAAUUUCUUAAUAAUACUAACAGAAAUGAUCUUUUAUUUGAUUCACAACUAUUAAAAUUAAUUCCUCAGGAUUAAUUGGCGAUUCCUUGGGCAUAUGCCUUAACGAGGUCAUCAGCUGAAAAUUACAGUGCCAUCAUUGGAGAAUUGAGGAGAGUUGUGCCGGGUCUCACGAUGAACACUGUCAUCACCAAUUUUGGAGAUUUUUUGCGUCGCAGUAUCCAACAACAUUUUCCCGCGGUUUCUGGGAGCGGAAGCCACUUUUACUAUCAAAAGCAAGUACAGCGAAUGGCGAUUCGACACGGAGUUCAUACAUUUUUAAUCGAAGACGAAAAUGAAAUCAAAAGAUUUUUACCGUCUGUUUUUUGAUUGCCUCUUCUGCCUGCUGGGAUCAUUGAACAAACGUUUCGAGAAAUGGUUCGACAAUUGAGUGAAAAUUCGGCAACUAUUUUAAAUCAAUUCAUUGCAGAUUUCUCUGCGUCUUGGUUGAAACAAGUUACGGCUGAAUUCUUCGCUGUCAACGGAAACCUCGAUAUGAUGACGGACUUGUUUCAAAUUUUCAGCAAUCAACUUCACGUAAGAGUGGGAACAUUUCCCCUAACGUGGAACUUUACAGAUGGACUACUAGCGCUCCAAAGCCGAUCAUUUAGAGACAAUGUCAGGCUAAAUAGCGGACAUAGAACGGGCAUUAAUGCAACCAGAGUGUUAAACAGAAGUACCUCCGCAAGACUGAGAAGGAUGUGAAAUCUUUUGGAAUCGGGUAAUCUGACGAAAGAGGAAUUUUUGACACAAUGCAGUUACGUGGUGGCUGAGCCGAGUACUGAAUAUUUUUGCGUUUAUCUAACGUUUAUCUACGUUGCGCUUAUUUCAAGCUGUUGAAGUACCUGUUUUCCGUGAUUUCCCUGAUGUUGCUGAACAAGGUCCAGAGGUCCAACAAGGUUUGGCGGACGACCGUGAUCUUCCGAUUGAACAAGAGCGAGAUCCUGCAGAAGCACCUACUUUUUGUGAUUUUCGAAAUGUUGCCAUG